GAGAAGCUUGCUUCUCUGAUGUUAGCGGCGGACGGGUGGGUAACACGUGGGUAACCUACCUAUAAGACUGGGAUAACUCCGGGAAACCGGGGCUAAUACCGGAUAAUAUUUUGAACCGCAUGGUUCAAUAGUGAAAGACGGUUUCGGCUGUCACUUAUAGAUGGACCCGCGCCGUAUUAGCUAGUUGGUAAGGUAACGGCUUACCAAGGCGACGAUACGUAGCCGACCCGAGAGGGUGAUCGGCCACACUGGAACUGAGACACGGUCCAGACUCCUACGGGAGGCAGCAGUAGGGAAUCUUCCGCAAUGGGCGAAAGCCUGACGGAGCAACGCCGCGUGAGUGAUGAAGGUCUUCGGAUCGUAAAACUCUGUUGUUAGGGAAGAACAAAUUUGUUAGUAACUGAACAAGUCUUGACGGUACCUAACCAGAAAGCCACGGCUAACUACGUGCCAGCAGCCGCGGUAAUACGUAGGUGGCAAGCGUUAUCCGGAAUUAUUGGGCGUAAAGCGCGCGUAGGCGGUUUCUUAAGUCUGAUGUGAAAGCCCACGGCUCAACCGUGGAGGGUCAUUGGAAACUGGGAAACUUGAGUGCAGAAGAGGAGAGUGGAAUUCCAUGUGUAGCGGUGAAAUGCGCAGAGAUAUGGAGGAACACCAGUGGCGAAGGCGGCUCUCUGGUCUGUAACUGACGCUGAUGUGCGAAAGCGUGGGGAUCAAACAGGAUUAGAUACCCUGGUAGUCCACGCCGUAAACGAUGAGUGCUAAGUGUUAGGGGGUUUCCGCCCCUUAGUGCUGCAGCUAACGCAUUAAGCACUCCGCCUGGGGAGUACGACCGCAAGGUUGAAACUCAAAGGAAUUUGACGGGGACCCGCACAAGCGGUGGAGCAUGUGGUUUAAUUCGAAGCAACGCGAAGAACCUUACCAAAUCUUGACAUCCUUUUGACCGCUCUAGAGAUAGAGUCUUCCCCUUCGGGGGAACAAAGUGACAGGUGGUGCAUGGUUGUCGUCCGC
rnacentral:rRNA from 1 species